rnacentral:rRNA from 1 species
UACAGAGGGGGCAAGCGUUGUUCGGAAUUACUGGGCGUAAAGGGCGCGUAGGCGGCCUUCUAAGUCGGUCGUGAAAUGCCGGGGCUCAACCCCGGGACUGCGUCCGAUACUUCCGAGCUGGAGGCAGGUAGGGGAGAUCGGAAUUCCUGGUGUAGCGGUGAAAUGCGCAGAUAUCAGGAGGAACACCGGUGGCGAAGGCGGAUCUCUGGGCCUUGCCUGACGCUGAGGCGCGAAAGCUAGGGGAGCGAACAGG